CUCGGUAGAGAUGGAGAGGUUGAGGGGAAAGAGAUGCUCGGAGUGAACAGAAAAUGAAGACGGCCACGGCAGCUGAGGAGAUGGAGAGGGACCCGAGUUGGAGCGCCCCGUGUCGGGCAUGAGCCAAGAGGAACCAACUCCAGGGAGGGUGGAGAGACAGACAGAGAGAGAAGAAGGUCACUGCUGACGUCAGGGACAUUCAGGAAACCACUGAGCACAAAGGCGGUAUUGAUUCUCUGCCACCCCCAGAGUCCGUUCCCGGAGGCUUCGCCGCUGGUCCCUCACCACACACCCACGCCCCACCCGCGGGACCGUGACAUCCUGACCGUCUGACCAUCUGCCUGGGAGCCCGAGCCCACAGCUGGCUCCGUCAGACGCCCGGAGGGCAGGCCUCACCCGUGGGCUGCCGCUGGUUCCUGGCUUCUGGCUGGCAGGAGUUCAGAGCCCAGAGGGGAGCAGCUUCCUCUCCAGCUUGCUCCCCCAGCCCAGGACUUCUGGGAGGAGCUGGCAGGGGCCUCUGUUGCCUACGCACGACCUCUUUUCCUGGAUAAACAGAGCUCUGUCUCCACGGUCAUCAGCCCGGCCUUCUUAACUCCUUCCUCCAGGUUCCUAGCAGCAAGCCAGUCCUGGGCCCUGCCCCUCUCUGCAGGGAAGAAGAAGGAGGUCAUCAGUGGGCAGUGGCCUCCAUUCCCUCUGUGCUGCCCGGGCCCUACCCUCGGCUUGCUAGGUGAAACCCAUGGUCAUGGUCACACGCACUGCAUAUUCUGCAAAGCCCUCUUUGAUGGAGUCCCCCCACAUUGUUCUGUUCUGGACCCAUCACAUUAACUCUCAGUCAGAGGGACUUGCAGUGUGACUAGUUCUCUGAACUAUACUGGCUCAAGGAAAAGUUACCAGGAUUCAGAUUUCUGGACAUAGAGACACUGAAGACAGAGCUGGUUCUAUCAAUGGGUCAAGCGCCAGCUGGCCUGUGCUCCUUGUCUUUCGCAGAAGGCUGUUAAACUGGAAACACGGAGGGUGCCUCUCCUGCCGUCCCCUCCCCUGCAGGCAGAUCCCACAAAGCACAGGCCACCACUAGCAAGAUGAGACCCUCAAGUGCACCCACCAUCCCUCACUCUCUCAAAGGCUUCAGGCUCAUUCCCUCCUUAGGAUUUUUGCAUAGGUUGUUCCCUCUCCUGGGACAACUGCCCCCUUUCAUCCUUCAGAUCUGGAGGCCCUCACUGACAGCCUCCCAUCUAAAUUAGGGGCUUCUGUUUGUAUACUUUCACAGCACCCCAUAUUUUGGGGUCAUUGGUCAUUGGUCACAGGUUUUUUUUUUCCCCUCUGUGAUUUUUGUAUGUGAUUAUUUAACAUCUUAUUAGACUGUGAGCAUCAUGAAGGCAGCACUUAGGAUAAGGCAGGUGCUCAAUCAGGAUUUGUUGAAUGAAUUAAUGACAUUAAGCAGAAUUAUAUCUGAAUCAAUUUAUUCAUCCAUUCACUGUGCUAGGUGCUGGGGAUACAUAGAAUGGGGGCAGGCUAAAGGAAGAGACAGUUAAUAAACUUGCAAACAACAACAAGAUGCAGGAAACAAGAUGGUUAUUUUGACAUCUGAUACCUGAGAGUUUUAAAAGAGCAUAUGUUUCUUUUGUGGAGAUCCCUGGUGACCUCAAACCCUCUAGUCCCAUGGCUCCUGACUCAGCGAGGCCCUGGUGUCCUUUCUGGGGAGGGUGGUCUGUGCGGAGUGUGACAGCCAAGAACUCCAGGCUUUGGCAUUGGUCAGACAUUUUUGGCUUCUAUAAUAAGAGGUCCAGAGGUAGGGUAGAAUUCAGGGAAGUUUGAUUCUGUGGCUUCAUUCAUUCAGUUACAGACCACCUAUAUGUGCCAAGCACUGUGCUGGACUGGAGGAUAUAGCAGUGAGAGAACAGAUGUAUCUCCUAGCCAGCU